rnacentral:lncRNA from 1 species
CGGGACGAGAGACGACGAACGCGGGCGCCAUCUUGAGAGAGGCACUGCAGGCGGAAGUGGCAGUUGUUGUUCGUUACGUUUAUUCUAUCGUUCCCUCUCCGUCGUUUAACCGCCACAGCAACCCUGCGAGGUAGGUCCGGCUGAGAGUGAGCUACUGCCCAAGGUCACCCUGUGAGUUGCGUAUGGCCGAGUGGGGAUUUGAACUGUUGGCUCCCAAGAUGUACUGUUGUCAGUACUCUGGUAUUUGGACAUCUAGGGGUUAAUAUACCCACCCAAACAAGCAAAAUAUAGCAAGCCAGUUUUAUAACCCUUUGUGUGUAAGCUGACCAAAACUUAACCUCUCCAUAUUAGGCAAAACUGCAGAAAUGUGUUCUUUAUGGAGAAUGCUGUGGUUUUGCCAGAUGCCCUGCUCUCCUUUAUGGGCCCUGUGCCAAUUGUUAAAGAUCCCCAUUAAAAGGUAAAGGGACCCCUGACCAUUAGGUCCAGUCGUGGCCGACUCUGGGGUUGCGGCGCUCAUCUCACUUUAUUGUCUGAGGGAACCGGCGUACAGCUUCCGGGUCAUGUGGCCAGCAUGACAAAGCUGCUUUUGGUGAACCAGAGCAGCGCACAGAAACGCCGUUUACCUUCCCGCCGGAGCGGUACCUGUUUAUCUACUUGCACUUUGACGUGCUUUCGAACUGCUAGGUUGGCAGGAACAGGGACCGAGCAACGGGAGCUCACCCCGUCACAGGGAUUUGAACCGCUGACCUUCUGAUCGGCAUGUCCUAGGCUCUGUGGUUUAACUCACAGCACCACCCAUGUCCCAAGGAUCCCCAUUACUCCGUCUCAAAUUCUGACUACAUCUAAAGACAGCUUGUACCCACUGUGCAAUAUGAGCUAUUGAAACAAUUGGGCUUGAAACUUAUACUUAAACAAACCACUUUCCAGGCCUUAAAAUACAGAGUCAAAUUUUAAAGCACAUUUGGGGAUUUGAUCUCCCUAGCUGUGUCUCCCUAGCUACAGCCUAUUAUCGACUUAACUGUUUGAGUUCUUGCACCAAAUCCAUUCAGAAUUCAUACUUAAACCCAAAAUGGCUUUUUCACCCAGCCUUCUAUUUUUUCAGCAUGUAGCAAGAGUGCUAUCUCACUUUUACCGUCUCUUUCACUCUCUAAACUUUUUGUAUUUAACAGUAAGAGUUAAGAGACUGAUCCAACAAAGGCAUUUGUCUAAAGGAGAUGUUUGCAAUGUCAAAUGAUUCAAAAAGAGAGUUCUCCAAAGUAGCAGGUAUUUCUGUUCUCAACAGAUGCAAACAUGACAGUUCACCGAAGGAGCAUGUUUCUGGUGUCAACUGAUUUUUAAAAAGCAUUUGUCUGAAGGAGCAGAUGUUUGCAAAGUGAACCAAUCCAAAAAAAGGACGCUCUCCAAAGGAGAUGUUUGCAAUGUCAACUGAUCCAAAGAAGACAGUUCUCUGAAGGAGCAGAGGUUUGCGAAGUCAACUGCUCCAAAAAGAUGCUCUCCGAAGGAGCAAUGUCUGCGAAGAUCCAACUGAUCCAAAAAAGACAGUUUUCUCAAGAAGCAAAUGGAGCUCCUCCAUGAUGAGGUCUAUAAAGAAAGGCAGGUCUUCUGGCUGAGCUCCAUGAGCCAAAUAUUUCUGAUAUCAACUGAUCCAAAGAAGACAGUUCUACAAAAGCGCAGAUGUUUCUGAUGCCAACUGAUGCAAAUACAGUUCUCUGAAGGGGCAGAUGUUUCUGAUCUCAACAAAUCCAAAAAAAGACAGCUCUCCGAAGGUAGAUGGCUGCAAUACCGACUGAUCCAAAAGAGACAGUUCUCUAAAGCAGCAGGGUAUUUCUCAUGUCAUCUGAUCCAAAAAACACAUUUCUCUGGAACUAGUUUUUGCAAUGCCAACUGAUAAAAAAGAUAAUUCUCUGAAGAUGUUUCCAUUGUCAACUUAUGCAAAGAACAGUUUUCACAAGGAGCAGAUGUUUGCAAUUGUCAAUUGUUCCAAAAUAGUUUCCCCAACCUUGCAACAAACCAGGGCAGCCUCCAGAUGUUUCUUUGGGCUCCCUUCAGCCACCCACUGGCCCAAAAUGGUCUCAGGGAGAAGAUUAUUGGGGGUCUUGUUGCAGUUCUGCAAACAUCUGGUGAAUUGUGUUUCUUCUACAACAGCUGGCUGGUUGCCAUUUAUGUUUUUCUCAUUGAUUUGGGAUGGGAACCUGGGACCAUAAUAAAUAAAUAGGUAUCUCAGGUUUACGCUUUUUGGACAAAACAGACAAAGGCGCAGUUGACUUUCUCAUAACCUGUGGACCUAACCAGAUUAACUCUUCAACUGCUUUGCAGAAUAGAUGUCAGAUUCUAGACUACAUCACAAAUGAGAGGUGUGAAGAGUUGUAAGCGCAGAGUGCUUUCAAUUAUUGAAGUUACAAGAGAUGCAUUCUGACAGAAUUAAAAGCUUGGUACAAAAACCUGUAAAAAAUGGUCAAGUUUCAUUUUGUGGUAGGAGGAGCUAAUCCUACUUUCCCCCACUACACAUCUUGUUCCAUACGAAUUGUUGGGUAAAAAUAGAGUGGAUAAUAAAUAUUCAACCUUCAGAGCAAUUUACCAAAACCUAGUCCCAUUCUAUCAUGUGGUACAUAUCAAGUGGAUUGCACAACCUGUGCACCAAACUCUGCAUUGCUGUCUGUAAACAUACCUCUUGCAGAAAUCACAUUUCAGU